rnacentral:rRNA from 1 species
UACGUAGGGUGCAAGCGUUAAUCGGAAUUACUGGGCGUAAAGCGUGCGCAGGCGGUUCGCUAAGACAGAUGUGAAAUCCCCGGGCUUAACCUGGAACUGCAUUUGUGACUGGCGGCUAGAGGUAUGCAGAGGGGGUAGGAAUUCCACGUGUAGCAGUGAAAUGCGUAGAGAUGUGGAGGAAUACCGAUGGCGAAGGCAGCCCCCUGGGCCAAUACUGACGCUCAUGCACGAAAGCGUGGGGAGCAAACAGG